rnacentral:tRNA from 1 species
GCGGGUAUGGUAUAACGGUAUUACAUGAUCUUGCCAAGAUUAAGACAGGGGUUCGACUCCCCUUACCCGCU